rnacentral:lncRNA from 1 species
UCCUAGACAGCAGACAGGCUUCUUAGAGAUCCUCAGAGACAAUUGUGGGGCCUCUGGAAGUGUGAAUUCUACAUUCCCCACCCCUGACCGCUUUCGGUUUUCUUUUUCUUGGCCAUUUUCUUUGGUGUCUGUAUUAGUUAGGGUUCUCUAGAGAGACAGAACAAAUAGAAGAUAUAUAUAUGAGUUUAUUAAGUAUUAAAUCACAUGAUCAUAAAGUCCCACAAUAGGCCAUCUGCCAGCUGAGAUGCAAGGAAAGCCACCCACAGCCCUCAAGCAUGUGGACAUCUGGGAAUUGGCCACUCUACAUUAGUAAGGAGUCUCUUGGGGUCUCCUGUACAAAGCAGCAAAUGAUGACUGAG